CAUGGACUAGUGUGUAGGUAAUUUGUCAGUUAAAGAGGAACCAAUCGUGGUAUAACGUCAAUAAUGUUGUUUUGUUUACACCCCCCUCCUCCGCUCACUUUCAUGGACUAGUGUGUAGGUAAUUUGUCAGUUAAAGAGGAACCAAUCGUGGUAUAACGUCAAUAAUGUUGUUUUGUUUACACCCCCCUCCUCCGCUCACUUUCAUGGACUAGUGUGUAGGUAAUUUGUCAGUUAAAGAGGAACCAAUCGUGGUAUAACGUCAAUAAUGUUGUUUUUGUUUACACCCCCCCUCCUCCGCUCACUUUCAUGGACUAGUGUGUAGGUAAUUUGUCAGUUAAAGAGGAACCAAUCGUGGUAUAACGUCAAUAAUGUUGUUUUGUUUACACCCCCUCCUCCGCUCACUUUCAUGGACUAGUGUGUAGGUAAUUUGUCAGUUAAAGAGGAACCAAUCGUGGUAUAACGUCAAUAAUGUUGUUUUGUUUACACCCCCUCCUCCGCUCACUUUCAUGGACUAGUGUGUAGGUAAUUUGUCAGUUAAAGAGGAACCAAUCGUGGUAUAACGUCAAUAAUGUUGUUUUGUUUACACCCCCCUCCUCCGCUCACUUUCAUGGACUAGUGUGUAGGUAAUUUGUCAGUUAAAGAGGAACCAAUCGUGGUAUAACGUCAAUAAUGUUGUUUUGUUUACACCCCCCUCCUCCGCUCACUUUCAUGGACUAGUGUGUAGGUAAUUUGUCAGUUAAAGAGGAACCAAUCGUGGUAUAACGUCAAUAAUGUUGUUUUGUUUACACCCCCCUCCUCCGCUCACUUUCAUGGACUAGUGUGUAGGUAAUUUUGUCAGUUAAAGAGGAACCAAUCGUGGUAUAACGUCAAUAAUGUUGUUUUGUUUACACCCUCCUCCGCUCACUUUCAUGACUAGUGUGUAGGUAAUUUGUCAGUUAAAGAGGAACCAAUCGUGGUAUAACGUCAAUAAUGUUGUUUUGUUUACACCCCCCUCCUCCGCUCACUUUCAUGGACUAGUGUGUAGGUAAUUUGUCAGUUAAAGAGGAACCAAUCGUGGUAUAACGUCAAUAAUGUUGUUUUGCAGUUGUAUAAAAAAAUUGUCACUUCUCAUGUCCUUGGAGAUUUGUUUGUUACUCUUGAGUACAUUGACUUUGAACGUUUUGCAAAAUUAAAACAUUAAAGUGUUGAGUUUAAUUUAAUUUUGCAUUAUUGCAUGAAGAUCCGACACAGGUGAGGCAUAUUAUCUCUGUGUAAACAGUUUGUAUGUUCAAUAGUUUAAUACACGACUUAAAAUAAUUUUUGUCUCCAUGACACAGUAUUUCGCUAGUCGUAAUUGUUUAUUGUUAGUCAAAAUCAGGCCGUUUGUUUUUAUUUUUUUUAUUUUCAACAUUUUGUCUUCUUAAGGACUUGUAUAGCUUAUUACGGUAUGGACUCUGGUCAUUUAUGAAAACCGCAAGGUCAUAUGUAGCUGGUCGAGUCUUUUGGUUGGUCUGUGGUAUAUAAAAAUUAUUUUAUUGACAUUGACAAACAUACUACUUUGACAUAAUCUAAAAUAAGAUCUUCCAUUACAUAGUUGUUUUUCUUUUAACUUGAUUAUCUUACAUAAGGUCGUAAAAAUUACAUGUUGUGAUUUUUUUAAAGAUAGAAUAACUUUUGAAGAAAAUGAUGUCCACGUCCAAUUUCCACAAGUAAACGUUAAAUACAGUUUUCUAAACGUAUGACAAUACUAUCAAGACUGUAAAAAACAAGUAACAAGAACACUGACUAACAGAUGAAAGGGAAACAUAUUAAAGACAAAAGUUUUAUUUUCAAGACUAUAAAGUACAGUCAUUGUAAAAAACAAGUAACAAGAACACUGACUAACAGAUGAAAGGAAAAAAAUAUUAAAGACAAAAGUUUUAUUUUCAAGACUAUAAAGUACAGUCAUUGUAAAAACAAGUAACAAGAACACUGACUAACAGAUAAAAGGAAAAAAUAUUAACGACAAAAGUUUUAUUUUCAAGACUAUAAAGUACAGUCAUUGUAAAAUAAAAGUAACAAGAACAUUGACUAACAGAUAGAAGGAAAAAAAAUAUUAAAGACAAAAGUUUUUAUAAUCAAGACUAUAAAGUACAGUCAUUGUAAAAUAAAAGUAACAAGAACACUGACUAACAGAUAAAAGGAAAAAAUAUUAAAGACAAAAGUUUUUAUUUUCAAGACUAUGAAGUACAGUCAUUGUAAAAAAGAAAAGUAACAAGAACACUGACUAACAGAUAGAAGGAAAACAUAUUAAAGACAAAAGUUUUUAUUUUCAAGACUAUAAAGUACAGUCAUUGUAAAAUAAUGUAACAAGAACACAGACUAACAGAUAAAAGGAAAAAAAUAUUAAAGACAAAAAGUUUUUAUUUUCAAGACUAUGAAGUUACAGUCAUUGUAAAAAAACAAGUAACAAGAACACUGACUAACAGAUAAAAGGAAAAAAUAUUAAAGACAAAAGUUUUAUUUUCAAGACUAUGAAGUACAGUCAUUGUAAAAAAACAAGUAACAAGAACACUGACUAACAGAUAAAAGGAAAAAAUAUUAAAGACAAAAGCUUUUAUUUUCAAGACUAUGAAGUACAGUCAUUGUAAAAAAACAAGUAACAAGAACACUGACUAACAGAUAAAAGGAAAAAAUAUUAAAGACAAAAAAGUUUUAUUUUCAAGACUAUGAAGUACAGUCAUUGUAAAAAACAAGUAACAAGAACACAGACUAACAGAUGAAAGGGAAACAUAUUAAAGACAAAAGUUUUUAUUUUCAAGACUAUGAAGUACAGUCAUUGUAAAAAAGAAAAGUAACAAGAACACUGACUAACAGAUAGAAGGAAAACAUAUUAAAGACAAAAGUUUUUAUUUUCAAGACUAUAAAGUACAGUCAUUGUAAAAUAAUGUAACAAGAACACAGACUAACAGAUAGAAGGGAAAAAUAUUAAAGACAAAAGUUUUUAUUUUCAAGACUAUGAAGUACAGUCAUUGUAAAAAAAAAAGUAACAAGAACACUGACUAACAGAUUAAAGGAAAAAAUAUUAAAGACAAAAGUUUUUAUUUUCAAGACUAUAAAGUACAGUCAUUGUAAAAAACAAGUAACAAGAACACUGACUAACAGAUGAAAGGAAAAAAUAUUAAAGACAAAAGUUUUUAUUUUCAAGACUAUGAAGUACAGUCAUUGUAAAAAACAAGUAACAAGAACACUGACUAACAGAUAAAAGGAAAAAAUAUUAAAGACAAAAGUUUUUAUUUUCAAGACUAUGAAGUACAGUCAUUGUAAAAAACAAGUAACAAGAACACUGACUAACAGAUAUGAGGAAAAAAUAUUAAAGACAAAAGUUUUUAUUUUCAAGACUAUGAAGUACAGUCAUUGUAAAAAACAAGUAACAAGAACACUGACUAACAGAUAGAAGGAAAAAAUAUUAAAGACAAAAGUUUUUAUUUUCAAGACUAUAAAGUACAGUCAUUGUAAAAAACAAGUAACAAGAACACUGACUAACAGAUAAAAGGAAAAAAUAUUAAAGACAAAAGUUUUUAUUUUCAAGACUAUUUCUGAAAAUAAUUUUGCAUUUUUAGGAAUGAUGCAUUUGGGAAGCAUGUUUAUGUCUACAGAUAUUGGUCCUCAAAAAUCUUAAAGAGAUAAAACAAUAUUCCAAUAUGAAAGCAAAAUUAUGAAUAUUUAAAAUAUUGACUUACUGAAACUUAAAUUAUAAGUGAGGCAGUCCGCUCUUCAAAAUGAAAGAUUAAUAUUAAAACAACAUUAGAAGAACAAGUUAAAAAUUAUUAAUGCUUACAGAAGAUAGUAUCAGAAUAAAUGUUGUUGUUUGCAAUGCAAUUAUUCCGCUUUUAUAAAAAUAAAUGUUGACAAUAGUAUAUAGUGUAUGUAAUGUUGACAAUAGUAUAUAGUGUAUGUAAUUAUUGUUGUUGAAUGACAUGCUAUCACUAUAUUUUAUCUUAAUCAAUAUAAUAUCCCAUAACAAUGUUAUUCUUGUAUACGAAUUUAUGUGACCAUGAUAGAUGCUGUAUGUCAUAAUAGAUGUUGUUCGCAAUAGAUGCUGUAUGUCGUCAUACAUGUUGUAUACCAUGAUGUAUGUUGUUUGCCUUAUAGAUGCUGUAUGCCAUGAUAUAUGUUGUAUGCCAUGAUAUAUUUAAAUAAUACAAACAGGAUUAAGACCAAUUCAGUAAAUUUAACAGAUCAGACAACUGUUCUGUUGUCUGAAGAUCUAAGACCGUGAACACUAGUGAGCUGAGAUACAGACAGACACAUCCUAUCAGCCAGUUGAUUUUCCCAUAUUAGUCUUUGUUGAAUUUGAAUUUUUUAAAAAAAUGUGCAGAAUUUAUCUUUGUUUCAAAUAAAGAAAUACUUUGCAUGAGUAAAGCUUUAUCCUGUCCAGUACUAUAGACAAAAUUCCACAUAACAUUUCAUUGCAUAUAAGAAAAUAACCAUCACUGGAAGUUAACCAAUCACAGUUUUACCUCUUUUUUUACCUCUUUUUAACAUGUGUGCAAGCUUAAGUAAUCAUGUAACCUCAAGUUUCCAAAAUAUUCAAGGGAAUAUAUUUUAUGACCUUUUUUUUGUAUGCAACCGGAUGUGACGUACUAUGAUUUAGUGGUAUUCGGUCGAUAACAACUAUUAUUCUAGUUUUUUUUAAUAGGGCAGUGGCCUCCUAAACAGGAAGUAGCUGUAGUUAUCUAUAAUUAUAUUUCUGUGAAUAUAUGUUCAUAUGAGCUGUGAAAAAUGUGGGUCACUUCUUUAGAUCCUUAGCCAGAUUUAGUGACUUUAUACAUAUUUUAAAAUUAAGAUUUACAAUUUUAGCAUGUCAUGAUACCAUUGUGUUUUUGUUGUUUUUUAGCACUAUUUGUGUUUAAGUAAUGUCUUCUAC
rnacentral:lncRNA from 1 species